GGUUCCGCCGUGGACAAGCUGAAGUCUCUCUGGGGCCAGGGGACCCGCACGGCCCAGCCGCCCCACCCCACCAUCUCCCAGGCAUGUGAGAAAAUAUCACAUUCUCUGUGUUUUGGAGAUUUCUUCUAAAUGUAUUUUCCAACUAUCAUUUCAUAGCAAAUCAGCAAGAAAAAAGGUAUAAUAUUAGGCAGAAACCCAAUUUAAAAAGAAAAGCAGAGCUGUUGUAGAUUCAGCGAGGGUUGGCGACCUGGUUCCAAUGAGCCAUCUCCCUGUUCCGACAGGGGCUUCCUGGAGCUCCUGCAACCCCAGGCAUUAGUUCCAGUGCAGUUCUAGGAUCAGAUCAAUUCACUCGACAACAAGAGAAACAAAUGGAGAUUCCUACACAAAGACUUUCAAGCACAAAGAAAUCCUGCUGCCUAUAAAGCAGAGCUGCCUCAGCUCUUGAUGAACGACAGAAAAUCUCAAAUUCCAGGAAUUCAGAUGAAGUGAAGUGCUCUCAUGGGGACCAGGCGUGGGUAUGCCAGUCCACUGCCCUGCAAGUCUCAAGGGAAACCAACUGCCCAUCAGCAAGUCACACCUGCCUUGGUGGAGGCAUUGAUUGGAAGGGCCACAGGCUACAUGUCCAGUCCUGAGUGGGAGAAUCGGUGUAGGGAUGUUCUGGGGAUGCUGGCUGUGGCUAGAUCAGGUCCAGCUACAGAAGAAUAAUGAAGACUUCACCUGAGGGCUGGAAAAACAAAACCUCAAGUGUGAGGCAGCCAACCUAUUACCUCGAGGGACUGUCCCGCAGCACAGCAGGGCCAUGGGAACAGCAGCAGACACCCCGGCCUCCUCACUACCUGUGUGUGUAUUAGACACCCAGCCUCCUCACUACCUAUCAACUAUGGCCUGA
rnacentral:lncRNA from 1 species